UGUUGGAUCGCGCGCUUGCUGUCCAACGAAAUAUUUGAAUUCUCAAAUAAAUUACAAAAAUCAUAAUAAUAUACAAUUUUAGUAACAGUCAUAUAAUAAACAAAUUUUGUAUGGUACUAAACAAAUUUCUAUAGUAGCUAAAAAUACACCAAUAAAACUUCACCGGAAGUCACAAUACGUAAACAACAUUGCCAAAAGUUAUGUGUGUCACCGGCUAUCCAAAAUGACAAAUAUCAAGGAUAGUGAGCAUUAACAUCUGCAAAACAUUGAAGACGUUGACUACAAAUACUAAAAGGAAUUACAAAGAGUAUUUAAAAACAGUUGCCGAAACGUAAAAAUAGUGUUUUUAUUGAAAAAUCGUCCCAAGUGACACAUGGGUUCCACUGCGCAUGUCAGUACAUUUCAUUCAUAAAAUUCAAGCAAGGUGCGUGGAUUUACUACGAGAUUUACUACGAUCUACUACAGUUGCUACAAUUGGAUCAUCACAAAAAUACAAGACAUUCAGUGGAUUAUUACUAUGAACUGAUACACCAGAAGGUUCACCAUUAUGACCAUCAGCACGAGGGCAGUAGAUACCAGACAGACAUAUAUAUAUAUACCAAAUGUGGAAAAUUACUGAACAUUACGAACAAUGUGGAACAUGGCUAAGAACCAGAGGUUUUCCGAAGGAAAAUUUAGUUACCAUGCAAACAGUACCAAAAUAUUUAAAUAUAAGUUUAAAAAUACACCCAAAAAUAACUUUUAAUUCUCGAAAGCUUUGACUAUAUCUAAUAUAAAUAACUUAUAAACUUUUCAUGAAUUUCAAAGAUAAAUUUUCAGUCUAAGUAACUUUAAAUAACUUUUUAUCUUAACCUUAAAUUACUUUUGAUGUUAACAACUCUAAUAAACAAUACCUUAAAUUUCCAUUAAAAAUAUAAAAUUA